rnacentral:lncRNA from 1 species
GUUAGUAGAUUGUAGAUAGUUUGUGUUUUAUUGUUGGUUAAGUGUUGCAUUUAGGAUUGCAUAUUAAUUCCAGCUGCUUAAUAGUUACGUAUGUUUAGGGCCAAUGAUGAGAUUAAAAUUGCAUGAACGAGUCUAGUAAGGAUUGUUAAGCUAGUGAUAUGAUUUUCUUGACAUAAUUGAAAUCUUUAUCUGUUUAACACUGAUAUUAUCAGAAUAGCACAUUUUGAAAAAUGACCAUGUAGGCUAAGAAAGUUAAAAUGGAUAGAUAAUAGAGUUCUAAAGGAUGAAUGCCAGUGAAAUGAAGGAACAAUUUGAAUAGCUAGUGAAGACUGAAUUUAGACAUAAACUCAAGUUUGGGGAAAAAAUAUUUGGAGUAUAUAAGCUUUAAAAAAAAUAAAAAAAAUAAACAUUGUGGCGUGCUUGUCUAGUUUUGUGGCCUUUGUUACUUGAGUAAGUAAGCCCGAAGGGAUUGUCUUUACACCUAGCGCCCUAAGGUCUUAAUGGCUUGGGACUCGUUGGUCGAAAGCUCGUUAAGGUAAAACUGGAAAGCCUAAGGGAAUUGGACAAUGCAUGGUCAUGAGAAAAAAAACCCCGUUAAUGAAAAAAAAUAAAAAAAUAAAGCAUAAGUAUUCCAUUUUGACCCUUGGACUUUGGUAAUUGUUUGAUUUUAGUUGAAUCAAGUUUAUUUGAGGAGUUCUCGAGUUUACAUUAUAUGAUGCCUUCAAAGAAAUCUAUUAUCUUUCAUAUUUUGCUUUUUAUUGGUUAGCAUGGUUGUUGAACACACACACAAAAUAUCAGUAAUAACAGAUUUAGAUUUAUUGAUUGUUGGGAUAUUAUUGAUCUGCCUUAACAUGAUAUAUCAACAUGUUUUUGUGAUUUUUCUGAGGCC